rnacentral:misc_RNA from 1 species
GAUGAAGAACGCAGCGAAAUGCGAUACGUAGUGUGAAUUGCAGAAUUCAGUGAAUCAUCGAAUCUUUGAACGCACAUUGCGCCCGCCAGCACUCUGGCGGGCAUGCCUGUUCGAGCGUCAUUUCAACCAUCAAGCCCCCAGGGGCUUGUGCUGGGGCCCUGCGGCUGCCCGCAGGCCCUGAAAACCAGUGGCGGGCUCGCUAGUCACACCGAGCGCAGUAGCACAUCUCGCUCAGGGCGUGCGGCGGGCUCCUGCCGUGAAACCCCCCACUGUAACCCCAAAGGUUGACCUCGGAUCAGGUAGGAAUACCCGCUGAACUUAAGCAUAUCAAUAAGCGGAGGA